rnacentral:lncRNA from 1 species
GUCAGGGUCACAGCAAUUCAAACCUGUGUAGGGGCGCGGCGGUGGGAGGCAGGAUUGUGUUAGCAGAGGGGUGUGGGGACCGGCGUGCCAAUUACCCGCGGCUACAAUUGGGUGCUAACCAAAACCGGCUUUCUGCAAGUGUGCAGGAAACAGCGCCUGGGGGCUGUCACACAAGAUGAGGUGCCCUCCGAUGAUUUCCUUCUCCCUACCUCAAAUAUUCGGUUGGCCAUUGGACGGGAAGCCUUGACUUUGAAAAGAAAAGACAUGCGGGGCAAAAAAAAAAAAAAAAAAAAAAAAAGACCACUUGUAAUUCAAAAUGGCCAUCAUGUUCCAUCCAAGCGACAGGCUGGUGACACAGGACUAGUGGGCAAACACACACAGACACAACCACCACUGUAAGCAACAGCCACUUUACAGGUAUUUUUUUUUUUAAAACAACGGAAUGUAGCAUUUCUUUCCUCUUGUGUGGUUUGCUUUGUUUCCUUUUCUCGCCUCCAAAGAAGUCUGCAACCUGAUGUUAAGUAUCUUGGAAGGUUUCCCACUGUCUUCCUGACUUCUCGUUUCCGAAACGAAAUGCUUGUAUCACGUGGGACUCGGGUCCGCACGGGGUUUCCAACCAGCACUGCAGGACUGGACGGUUCUGCUUGCUUGGCUUUGUCCACCCUGGUGUUUUACAAAGAACCCGGAGAUAUCCUGGCCGCCAUGAUGGAAAUUCUAAAUACAGUAAAACCUUGGUCUGCGAGUGUAAUUCAUUCCAGAGACAAGUUUAUAAUCCAAAGCCCUCCAAAUCUCAAGAACCAUUGGCUCCGGUGGUGAUCAUGUGACGUUCAGCACCACCUUCUACUCGUAUUGCAAGACAUCGCUCGUGGGUCCAGUUAAAAUUUAUUAGAAAUGGUUUCUGGCUCGCGGUCCGUGAGUUCGAGCCCCGCUUCGGGCUCUGGGCUGAUGGCUCAGAGCCUGGAGCCUGCUUCGGAUUGUGUGUCUCCCUCUCUCUCUGCCCCUCCCCCGUUCAUGCUCUGUCUCUCUGUCUCAAAAAUAAAUAAACAUUAAAUUUAAAAAAAUUAAAAAAA